CUACGGGGGGCAGCAGUAAGGAAUAUUGGGCAAUGGACGCAAGUCUGACCCAGCCAUGCCGCGUGAAGGAUGAAGGCCCUCUGGGUUGUAAACUUCUUUUAUCUGGGGCGAAAGGCGGUUAUUCUUAGCCGUUUGACAGUACCAGAGGAAUAAGCACCGGCUAACUCCGUGCCAGCAGCCGCGGUAAUACGGAGGGUGCAAGCGUUAUCCGGAUUCACUGGGUUUAAAGGGUGCGUAGGUGGAUCUGUAAGUCAGAGGUGAAAUCCCCGAGCUUAACUUGGGAACUGCCUUUGAUACUAUAGAUCUUGAAUAUCGUGGAGGUAAGCGGAAUAUGUCAUGUAGCGGUGAAAUGCAUAGAGAUGACAUAGAACACCAAUUGCGAAGGCAGCUUGCUACACGAUGAUUGACACUGAGGCACGAAAGCGUGGGGAGCAAACAGGAUUAGAUACCCGAGUAGUC
rnacentral:rRNA from 1 species